UACGUAGGGGGCUAGCGUUGUCCGGAAUCAUUGGGCGUAAAGCGCGCGUAGGCGGCCCGGUAAGUCCGCUGUAAAAGUCAAAGGCUCAACCUUUGAAUGUCAGUGGAUACUGCCGGGCUAGAGUCCGGAAGAGGCGAGUGGAACUCCUGGUGUAGCGGUGGAAUGCGCAGAUAUCAGGAAGAACACCGACGGCGAAGGCAGCUCGCUGGGACGGUACUGACGCUGAGGCGCGAAAAGCCGUGGGGGAGCGA
rnacentral:rRNA from 1 species